GACGAACCGUGCGAACGUUGUUCGGAAUCACUGGGCUUAAAGGGCGCGUAGGCGGGGAGGUAAGUCAGGGGUGAAAGCCCUCGGCCCAACCGUGGAAGUGCCUUUGAUACUGCCUGUCUCGAGGGAGGUAGGGGCGUGCGGAACUUCCGGUGGAGCGGUGAAAUGCGUAGAUAUCGGAAGGAACACCCGUGGCGAAGGCGGCUUCCUGGGGCCAUCCUGACACUGAGAAGCGAAAGCUAGGGGAGCGAACGGG
rnacentral:rRNA from 1 species